CCUACGGGCGGCUGCAGUAGGGAAUCUUCGGCAAUGGGGGCAACCCUGACCGAGCAACGCCGCGUGAGUGAAGAAGGUUUUCGGAUCGUAAAACUCUGUUGUUAGAGAAGAACGUUAAGUAGAGAGGAAAAUUACUUAAGUGACGGUAUCUAACCAGAAAGGGACGGCUAACUAGGUGCAAGCAGCCGCGGUAUUACGUAGGUGCCAAGGGUAGUCCGGAUUUAUUGGGCGUAAAGCGAGCGCAGGUGGUUGCUUAAGUCGGAUGUAAAAGGCAGUGGGUCAACCAUUGUGUGCAUUGGAAACUGGGAGACUUGAGUGCAGGAGAGGAGAGUGGAAUUCCAUGUGUAGCGGUGAAAUGCGUAGAUAUAUGGAGGAACACCGGAGGCGAAAGCGGCUCUCUGGCCUGUAACUGACACUGAGGCUCGAAAGCGUGGGGAGCAAACAGGAUUAGAUACCCGUGUAGUC
rnacentral:rRNA from 1 species